rnacentral:rRNA from 1 species
UACGUAGGGUGCGAGCGUUAAUCGGAAUUACUGGGCGUAAAGCGUGCGCAGGCGGUUCGUUAAGUCAGAUGUGAAAGCCCCGGGCUCAACCUGGGAACUGCAUUUGAAACUGGCGGGCUUGAGUGUGGCAGAGGGGGGUGGAAUUCCGCGUGUAGCAGUGAAAUGCGUAGAGAUGCGGAGGAACACCGAUGGCGAAGGCAGCCCCCUGGGAUGUGACUGACGCUCAUGUACGAAAACGUGGGGAGCAAACAGG